rnacentral:rRNA from 1 species
AGGAUCUCCGUAGGUGACCUGCGGAGGGAUCAUUACACAAAUAUGAAGGCGGGCUGGAACCUCUCGGGGUUACAGCCUUGCUGAAUUAUUCACCCUUGUCUUUUGCGUACUUCUUGUUUCCUUGGUGGGUUCGCCCACCACUAGGACAAACAUAAACCUUUUGUAAUUGCAAUCAGCGUCAGUAACAAAUUAAUAAUUACAACUUUCAACAACGGAUCUCUUGGUUCUGGCAUCGAUGAAGAACGCAGCGAAAUGCGAUAAGUAGUGUGAAUUGCAGAAUUCAGUGAAUCAUCGAAUCUUUGAACGCACAUUGCGCCCUUUGGUAUUCCAAAGGGCAUGCCUGUUCGAGCGUCAUUUGUACCCUCAAGCUUUGCUUGGUGUUGGGCGUCUUGUCUCUAGCUUUGCUGGAGACUCGCCUUAAAGUAAUUGGCAGCCGGCCUACUGGUUUCGGAGCGCAGCACAAGUCGCACUCUCUAUCAGCAAAGGUCUAGCAUCCAUUAAGCCUUUUUUUCAACUUUUGACCUCGGAUCAGGUAGGGAUACCCGCUGAACUUAA